rnacentral:rRNA from 1 species
UAGGGAAUCUUCCGCAAUGGACGAAAGUCUGACGGAGCAACGCCGCGUGAGUGAAGAAGGUUUUCGGAUCGUAAAACUCUGUUGUCAGAGAAGAACAAGUCGGAGAGUAACUGCUCCGGCCUUGACGGUAUCUGACCAGAAAGCCACGGCUAACUACGUGCCAGCAGCCGCGGUAAUACGUAGGUGGCAAGCGUUGUCCGGAUUUAUUGGGCGUAAAGCGAGCGCAGGCGGUUCCUUAAGUCUGAUGUGAAAGCCCACGGCUUAACCGUGGAAGGUCAUUGGAAACUGGGGAACUUGAGUGCAGAAGAGGAGAGUGGAAUUCCAUGUGUAGCGGUGAAAUGCGUAGAUAUAUGGAGGAACACCAGUGGCGAAGGCGACUCUCUGGUCUGUAACUGACGUUGAGGCUCGAAAGCGUGGGGAGCAAACAG